rnacentral:rRNA from 1 species
AGUGAACGCUGGCGGUAGGCCUAACACAUGCAAGUCGAACGGCAGCACAGUAAGAGCUUGCUCUUACGGGUGGCGAGUGGCGGACGGGUGAGGAAUACAUCGGAAUCUACUUUUUCGUGGGGGAUAACGUAGGGAAACUUACGCUAAUACCGCAUACGACCUACGGGUGAAAGCAGGUGAUCUUCGGACCUUGCGCGAUUGAAUGAGCCGAUGUCGGAUUAGCUAGUUGGCGGGGUAAAGGCCCACCAAGGCGACGAUCCGUAGCUGGUCUGAGAGGAUGAUCAGCCACACUGGAACUGAGACACGGUCCAGACUCCUACGGGAGGCAGCAGUGGGGAAUAUUGGACAAUGGGCGCAAUCCUGAUCCAGCCAUACCGCGUGGGUGAAGAAGGCCUUCGGGUUGUAAAGCCCUUUUGUUGGGAAAGAAAAGCAGCAGGUUAAUACCCCGCUGUUCUGACGGUACCCAAAGAAUAAGCACCGGCUAACUUCGUG